GCAACCCGGCUUUCCGGUCCGGGGAGGGCCGCAUCCCCUGCACUUUGGGUCCGGCCCGCCUGCUCGGGCUCCCGAACGCCCUUGCGCCGCCCUCGACACGCUGCCGACGGCCUGUGCAGCUCGCGGUACAGUCUCCCCUGGAGCGACCCUAUAGGCCAGCCCGCCGACCAUGCCUGCGGGCGUGUCCUGGACGUCCUACCUGAAAAUGUUCGCCGCCAGUCUCCUGGCCAUGUGCGCCGGCGCGGAGGUGGUGCACAGGUACUACCGGCCGGACCUGACAAUACCCGAAAUUCCACCAAAGCCCGGAGAACUCAAAACAGAGCUUUUGGGAUUGAAAGAGCUACAACGAGAACCUCAAGAUCCAACUCUGCCAAGAACUCUGUGAAUAGCAGUGUGAGAGUUAAAUGUGCAUUUUUAAAAUUCAUUUCGUCAAACUACUUGUUAAGCACCCAAUACAAUGCUGACUGAAACAGGAAGUGCUCACUAGAUGUUAACUGAUGCAUUGAGAUUUAAUUAUGGUUUGACCAGUGUUUCUUGAAAACUGCCAAAGCUUUUACCAUUGCUUUCUUUAAUGUGGUUUGAUAAAUACUUUUUUUAGGGCUGCACCUCUGGCAUAUGGAAAUUCCCAGGCUAGGCAGGAAUUGAAUCAGAGCUAUAGCUGCCGGCCACAGCCACAGCAACACCAGAUCCGUGCCUCACCUGCGACCUACACCACAGCUCACGGCGGUGCCAGAUCCUUAACCCACUGAGCGGGGCCAGGGAUUGAACCUGCAUCCUUUUGGAUCCUAGUCAAGUUCUUUAACCUCUGAGCCACAAUAGGAACUCCCAAUAAAUACUUAGUCUUGAAUAUCAUGUGAGAUAGAAUUUUGCAGUGUCUCCUGCCCUUAUAAUUCUGGUUUAUUUCUCUGAAUAAGCUUAACUAUAAUGGCAAAUGAGAAUUAUAAAUUAAGUAUAAUAAAAAUGACAUUGACCAUGAAAGCUUAUGGUGAGAAUUUAAUAUUUCUCUAAAUUUUGGAAAGUACUGUUUGUACUAAACUGAAUUCAGUUGAAAUAUUUACAUUCUGAAAUUUUUUUGAAACUGUUUACGUAACAAAAUUAAAAUAAUUGUGACUUGGACAGUCACAAGCUCUUUACCUCCAAAUUGGAGAAACCAUUCGGCAUUUCUCUUGUAACAUGUAAAGUGACAGAUAAACGAGUAUGGUUAUGGGUUGAAUCGUACCCCCCCGAAAAGUUGUUGAAGUCCUAACUCCCAGUACCUGUGAAUGUGUAUUUGAAAAUAUAAAGAUGAGGUCAUAGAGUUGGCCCUAAUCCAGUGUGAAUAGUGCCUUUUUAUAAGAAGAGGAAAGACAGACACACAGGAGAACACCGGGUGACAACAAAGGUGAAGAUUGGAGUCCUGUGGCCACAAGCUGGGGGACACCCCAGAAACUGGAAAGAGGCAGGAAAGGAUUCGACUGUCUCGGAGCAAGGAAGGGCCUGCUAACACUGGGAUUUCAGACUUCUGGACUCCAGAGCUGUGAGAGGAUGAACUUCUGUUGUUUUGCCAGUUCGUGGUACUUUUGGAUUGAAGGCCUGGGAAACUAAUACUAAUGUUUUAGCCCUUUCCCAAGUCUAUAAAAGCAGGACAGAAGUAAUUUAUAGAGCAGUCAGCUUCAUGUUCAAGGCUCUUGUUCCCAAAGAAGUUUCUUUAUGCAUUCCUCAUAUCUAGGCUUAUUAUUUCUCAGGCAGUUAGCAAAUUUCUACACCAUACAGAUUUUAGGGGCCUGGGUUGAAAUCUUAAAUUCUAAGUGCAAAAAAAAAAAAAAAAAAAAAAAAAAAAAAAAAAAAAACAACCCACAAAAAACAAAGUGUUUCCCUUUUCAUAGCCAAUGUCCUUCUCAGUUUAAUAGUACAAAGCAUCCAAAUGAAAUGGUUUAUUUCCAGGCUCACAUGAGUUUUUCUUUUCCACUGCAUGUCCUCUGGCUCCUUAUCAUAUGCUCCCAGCACACAGAGGACCCUCACUUCUCAGUGACAGGUUUCUAUAGUGGAAAUCAAGCAUCUACCUAUGUAAGUAAUUCUUAAUCUUUUUUGUAGUGUAGACCCCUUAGCAAUAUGAUUAAAGCCUAUAAUUUCCUUCUCAUAGUAAAAAUUUUUAAUGCAGAAUAUAAAAUAAAUGGGAUUAAAAAGAAAACCAGUUGUGCUGAAAUAGUUGUUUUUGAACAUACUUUUGAUUUAGUAAUGUUUCAUCACAUUAUUCUAAAGUAAU